rnacentral:sRNA from 1 species
AUCGAUGGUAUUGCCGGUGAUGUCGC